rnacentral:tRNA from 1 species
GGGCGUGUAGCUCAGUGGUAGAGCACUACGGUGACAUCGUAGGGGUCGUUGGUUCAAUCCCAACCACGCCCACCA